AUUGAACGCUGGCGGCAGGCCUAACACAUGCAAGUCGAACGAGCGGCGGACGGGUGAGUAAUGUCUGGGAAACUGCCUGAUGGAGGGGGAUAACUACUGGAAACGGUAGCUAAUACCGCAUACCAUCGGAUGUGCCCAGAUGGGAUUAGCUAGUAGGUGGGGUAACGGCUCACCUAGGCGACGAUCCCUAGCUGGUCUGAGCGGAUGACCAGCCACACGGAAACUGAGGCACGGUCCAGACUCCUACGGGAGGCAGCAGUGGGGAAUAUUGCACAAUGGGGGCAAGCCUGAUGCAGCCAUGCCGCGUGUAUGAAGAAGGCCUUCGGGUUGUAAAGUACUUUCAGCGGGGAGGCGUUACCCGCAGAAGAAGCACCGGCUAACUCCGUGCCAGCAGCCGCGGUAAUUC
rnacentral:rRNA from 1 species